rnacentral:piRNA from 1 species
GUAAUGGAAUAAAGGACGCAUGGA